AGCGAACGCUGGCGGCAGGCUUAACACAUGCAAGUCGAACGGGCGUAGCAAUACGUCAGUGGCAGACGGGUGAGUAACGCGUGGGAACGUACCUUUUGGUUCGGAACAACUGAGGGAAACUUCAGCUAAUACCGAAUAAGCCCUUACGGGGAAAGAUUUAUCGCCGAAAGAUCGGCCCGCGUCUGAUUAGCUUGUUGGUGAGGUAACGGCUCACCAAGGCGACGAUCAGUAGCUGGUCUGAGAGGAUGAUCAGCCACAUUGGGACUGAGACACGGCCCAAACUCCUACGGGAGGCAGCAGUGGGGAAUAUUGGACAAUGGGCGAAAGCCUGAUCCAGCCAUGCCGCGUGAGUGAUGAAGGCCCUAGGGUUGUAAAGCUCUUUUGUGCGGGAAGAUAAUGACGGUACCGCAAGAAUAAGCCCCGGCUAACUUCGUGCCAGCCGCCGCAGUAAGAC
rnacentral:rRNA from 1 species